rnacentral:rRNA from 1 species
CUCAACCGAGGAAUUGCAGGGCAUACUGCCUUUCUUGAGGCAAGUAGGGGUGCAUGGAACUCUGGGUGGAGCGGUGAAAUGCGUAGAUAUCCAGAGGAACGCCAGCGGUGAAAACGGUGCACUGGGCUUGUUCUGACGCUGAGAUGCGAAAGCGUGGGUAGCGAACGGGAUUAGAUACCCCGGUAGUCCACGCCGUAAACGAUGUUUACUAGGUCGCGGGAACUCUGACGUUUUCGCGGCCGUAGCAAAAGUAUUAAGUAAACCGCCUGGGGAGUACGGUCGCAAGGCUAAAACUCAAAGGAAUUGACGGGGGCUCACACAAGCGGUGGAGCAUGUGGCUUAAUUCGAAGCAACGCGAAGAACCUUCUCCUGGGUUUGACAUGCUUGGAUGCCUGCCGUGAAAGCGGAUUUGGCUGCCUUCGGGUGAAACUUGCACAGGUGCUGCAUGGCUGUCGUCAGCUCGUGUCGUGAGAUGUUGGGUUAAGUCCCGUAACGAGCGAAACCCUUGUCGUUAGUUGCCAGCGCGUUAUGGCGGGGACUCUAACGAGACUGCCGGUGUUAAACCGGAGGAAGGUGGGGAUGACGUCAAGUCCUCAUGGCCUUUAUGCCCAGGGCUGCACACGUGCUACAAUGGUCCGGACAAACCGACGCGAGACCGUGAGGUGGAGCAAAUCGGAAAAACCGGGCCCCAGUUCGGAUUGCAGGCUGCAACUCGCCUGCAUGAAGUCGGAAUCGCUAGUAAUCGCAGAUCAGCUAUGCUGCGGUGAAUAUGUUCCUGAGCCUUGUACACACCGCCCGUCAAGUCACGGAAGCUGGGAGUACCUGAAGUCGGGUAGCUAACUUUUUAUUAAGAGGCGCCUGCCGAUGGUAAGCUCGGUGACUGGGGCUAAGUCGUAACAAGGUAGCCAAGGGCGAA